AUUAGGGUUUAUUUUGAGUGCUCAUAAGUUACUAAAUCCUGAUCAUUGAAGUUGCCUUCCUUUUACUCUGAAAGUGAGAGAUAGAGUUCCUUGAAAUGGAGAGGACUUUGCCAUCAAAUUCAGGAAACUGCGCAGGGGUCUUUGAACAUGGGGAGACUGUCGACUUACAGGCUGGAAACCAGACCAUUAAAGGAGCAAACAAUGUAAGGAAAAGGAAGCUGAAGGAGACCAACUCUGGCAGGAGAAUUCUCGCCCUCUCAUAGAUCAAAAGUGAGCAGUGUUGAACACUUGGCAGAACAACUCAAGGUUGCACAUUGAGAACACAGCAUUCCAACAGCUCAAGGCUGACAAAUACUAAUUUGGAAGGCAUGUGGUGAGAUGAGAAAACCAAAGAGACUCGUUAAUGUGCUGAUCAUACUGACAUGCAGCCAUGAGGUUCAUCUAUGGUCCAAAAUGAAAUUAACAGCAUCCCCUUCAUUCAUUGUACAGUGUCGCUCUUCUUAACAAUAACAAUGUCACGUGUCAAUUUUAAUCAAAUCUUUAACCACGAAUUCACAGCAGCAGCUCCUGGCUAUCUCCCAGUACGCUGUGGCAGGAUCCACAGGUGGACCACCAUUGAUGGGAGGACUGCAAUAAGAAAUCAAUGGAUGUAAACCACAAAGCCGGCUGCCACAGCGAUAUUACAGUGGAGUUCCUCAGAACAGAUCGGUUUUUGCUCACAUCCAGACUCCAUACAUUCAUCCUACAGAUCUGGGAGAAGAAAAGAACACCACACCUUCCUCCAAACCAUACCUCCCCAUUCUGAUCUGCAACCACCAUAAGCCCAGCGCUCAUCCACUCCAUCCGCUUUUCAUUUCUUUACUUUCCUCUCUCUCUCUUUUCUCAUUUUCUUUCUUUUUUCACUUACCUCUUGUUGAAGAGCUCGGUCGUGGCAACAGCAGUGGGGAGUGGGCCCGGCAGAGCAGACUCGUGCCAGCUGUGUCAGAGGUGGGUUUGGGCUCCCGGUGGCUUCUGCAUCUUCAAGGCAAUCCUAGCACCGACUCACGGCUGCUGCGGUGAAGCCUGGUUUGGGUUCCCGGCGGCAUCUGUGUCCGGUGCAGAUUCAUGGAGGUGGCAGCUGAGGCGACUUUGGGUCCAGUACGAGACCCAGCGGCAUCAGCAGUGGCUGCAUUGGCGAGGUGGGCCCUGAAGCGGACUCAUGGCAGCGGAAUCGAAUUCAGGCCAGUGUAGUACCCGCUGGCAUUGGUAGCAUCGCAUUGGCGAGGUCCAUCAAGGGCUUGAGAUGGUACUGAAGAGUGGCAACGGUCAUUCCAGUGGUGGCAGCUCAGCAAAGGGGACUCAUGCCUGGCCACCAGACCCAUGACGGAGCACUUAACAAGGACUGUAAAGUUGUACACUUUUUCUUUAUUUCUUCAUCU